CUAGUCCGGGCCUUGGGGGAGUCCCCGGAGUCCCCGUGGCUUUCCAGCUCCAGGCUCGGGAGAGGGUGACCUUGGAGCCGGGAUUUCACUUCUACAGCGCUGUGGUGCCGGGGGGACAGGGAGAAGGGCUCCCUGGCCCCCAGUUCACGAGGAGAAGGGGCCUUGACCGGUCAGGACCACCACCCUACGACGCCGCUCAGCUCUGGGCGAUUCUCUCCUCCCUUGCUGAAGCAGGCAUUGAGAGCCUGCGUUCCUCCCGCUCUGUUUCCGUUUAGGUAAAAUGGAUAGAAUAAUAGUACUUACCUCAAAGGAUUGUUGAAGAGAAUCAACAAGAUGAUAUCCCUGAAGCACUGGGAAUAGUGUCUGGCACACAGCACUCUCCCAGGAGCACACCGCGGCGCUAGAGAAGACCAGGAAAAAGGACCUGAGCCAGCUUGCCGUCUUAACAAAAAUUUCAAACUUUGCAAAGCGGUAUACCUUCUUAUUCUCCAGUUCAGUAUUGCCAGUGAAGUCAUACUGAACGCAGACAAGGAAAAGAAAGAAAAAGAAACUCAAUGAGAUAUGUUGUCAUCUUCCCUGUUUUAUGGAUGAAGUUCUAAGUAGAGGUUCGGAGAAGGUCUUCCAAAUUAUGAAAAUUGGCAAUUGGGCGAUGUUCACAGUGUCCCGUCUACUGCCUGGGGCCCCUGUCAUGCAGCAGCUGCAGAUACCACGUCCUUGGGUUGGAGCCCCUUCUCUACUCACGUUGGACAUAGAAUCACUUUUCCAAUCAGAAGUAAUAUGAAACAAAAUUGGACUUUUUCAUCAACUGGAGAAAUUGAAACAUGUUUAUUUAAUUGUUAUGGCAUGCAAGAUAUUUUCUCAAGACUUCCAGUUAGAAGGGAAUCAGAAAUUUUGACCCUUUUUUGAAAUUCUUGAAAAAGCCCUCAAAUUGUAGGAAAAUGAAAGUGAUGGAGUCUCGCUCUGUCGCCAGGCUGGAGUGCAGUGGAAUGAUCUUGGCUCACUGCAACCUCCGUCUCCCAGGUUCAAGCAAUUCUCCUUUCUCUGCCUCCUGAGUAGCUGGGACUACAGGCAUGUACUACCACGCCCAGCUAAUUUUUUGUAUUUUUAGUAGAGAUGGGGUUUCACCAUGCUGGCCAGGAUGGUCUCAAUCUCUUGACCUCGUGAUCCUCCUGCCUCGGCCUCCCAAAAUGCUGGGAUUAUGGGCGUGAGCCACCACAUCCGGCCCAGAGAGUCUUAAAAUUUUAUGCAGGACUGGGCUUCACCCCCAAAAGAUUCUAGUUUAAUCGAGCUGGUGGUAGGGUCACGGUGUCUGUCAUUUUGAAGGUUCUCCUGGUAAUCUUAAUAAGCAGCAAGAUGUGUAUUAAGGACUGCUGCAGCCACACAGAACAACCACCUCUCUCCAAACCGUGCAGCUGCUUUCCCUGUUUUUAUUCUGCACAUGCUUUCCCUGCAGCCUGCAACAAAACUUCUACUCAUUCUUCACAACCCAGGUUACCAAACCUCCUCUGGGAAGAUGUCCCUAGAGUUUUUUCCAGCAGAGUUAACUCUUUCCUUUGUUUGAGUUCACUCUUUGUGUGUACUCGGUUGUAGCAUAGAUUAUAUUGAAUUGUAAUUAUGUAUUUUUAAUGUCUUUUUUCCUCAGUAGGGAAAACUAAGUUGCGACUAUCUUUGGGACAGAGAAUCUGGCUUAUUUACUUUUUUUUAAACUGCAGAACCUUUUAUAUAGUUGGUUCUCUAUAAAUAAUUGAUGAUUGAAUGAACGAGUUAAGUCAAGCUUUGACCAAUCCAAGUAAGUAUCCUUCAGGUGUCCUCAGUCCUCCAAGCAUCUGCACCAGAAAGUUACCCCCAACCCCACCAACUCUUUACAGUCCACACAAAGAAAACAAAAGAAGGCCAACAAGCAAACAACAAACACCCCAGAAACAGAUGUGUGCAUAAUAGUACACGUCCUGGCUACCACAGAAGAAAUAUCAGGAAGAAAUUGUAAGAUCCAUAAGGGCAGGAAUUUUUUGUUGGUUUUGAUCUUUGCUGUAUUUCCAGCACCUAGCCAAGUGCCUGGCCUACAGAAAGUGCUAGAUUGAAUGACAGAUGUUGAAUAAAUG
rnacentral:lncRNA from 1 species